UACGUAGGGUGCAAGCGUUGUCCGGAAUUAUUGGGCGUAAAGAGCUCGUAGGCGGUUUGUCGCGUCUGCUGUGAAAACUCAGGGCUUAACCCUGAGCUUGCAGUGGGUACGGGCAGACUAGAGUGCGGUAGGGGAGACUGGAAUUCCUGGUGUAGCGGUGAAAUGCGCAGAUAUCAGGAGGAACACCGGUGGCGAAGGCGGGUCUCUGGGCCGGAACUGACGCUAAGGAGCGAAAGCGUGGGGAGCCGAACAGG
rnacentral:rRNA from 1 species